rnacentral:tRNA from 1 species
GGUUGUGGCUCAGUGGUAAAGCGUUUGCCUAGCAUGCAUGAGGCACUGGGUUCCAUUCUCAGCACCA